GCUGGGAUUCCCGAGUGGUCAAAGGGGCAGGACUUAAGAUCCUGUGACUUAGUGUCUUCGCCGGUUCGAAUCCGGUUCCCAGCA
rnacentral:tRNA from 1 species